UACGUCAUCAAAGCUCGGCGGCUGAAGGUGGGAAAGCCAAGGCUACUGCCGUCGCUAGUGCGCAAGCUCAAAGCGAGGUUGGCACCCGCGGAGCUGGCUAGGAGAAGCAAGCACUGUUCAAAGCAACUUCCAUACAUGUGCUUUUCCCAACAACCCUAAGUAGAUGAGGAUUUUGAUGCUUACAUAAAUGAAGUAACUUACCAAAGGUAAGAAAUGGUUCAACCACCAGCCGGGUGGGUGGAGAAAGGAAAUUCUUGGUGGCAUAAGUUUCAAUCAUAGCCCACCAUCUCAGCCAUAGAACACAUGAAGAGGUCGUGAUUAUGAAGGGCCACACAGAAGAACCAGUGUUUUUCAGGUCACAGAAAAUGGUGGGACAAUCUCUUCAUUGCUGAAUUUAUAAUCUAUACUUUUUGGAUUCUUGACAAAUGCUUUCAAGGUUACUGUAUCUAUGGUGCUGUUCAUCUUGGUGUUUAAAUGCUCAUAUCCAUUAAGCCAAAAGAAAACACACACGAGCCAUAAAAAGAGACUUUGCCUCUCCCAAGCCAGCAGCCUCUAGACUGAGCAUCUCCAGGCAAACCCUGGCUCAUCUGAAGCUUUUACCUUCAAGAUUUCAAAGAAAGGAGCUGAGAUCUUUGAUGGCAAGACUCCAAGAUGGCCCCUGAUGAUCCUUACCCCUGAUGUUCAUGUCCUUGGACUCCUUCACUGUAAGGCUCACCUGUGUGACUAAUAGGACAUUACAGAAGUGUUGAUAUAUGACUUCUUAAGCUAACCACAAAGAGCUAGCCUUGUUCUCUUGGGCCACUUGCUAUGGGAGAAGCCAGCACAGUGUUAUAAGGACACACAAGCAGGCCUGUGGAGAAGUCCAUAUGGGAAAGAGCUGAGGCCUCUCACCAACAGCCAGCACUGUUCUGGUGAUAAAAGUGAGCUACCUUGGAAGUGGAUCCUCCAGUUCCGGACAAGCCUUCAGGUGACUGUGGCCUUGCCUGACAUCUGACCCUAACCUCGCAAGAAACUCCAGGCCAGGAUCACCAAGCUAAGUGCUACCAAACUCUUAACUCACAGAAACUAUGAGAGAGAACCAAUGUUUCUGUUGUCUUAAGGCAUUGAGUUUUGGGGUAAUUUGUUACACAGCUCUGGAUAAACUGGAUUUCUUUAAAAGCUACACCAUAUAGACUAUGGGUGAUCUUAACCAAAUACAGAUAGGUGUUAGGGACUUAAACGAACAUUUCAAGUAAUUGUUUAUUGUAUUGUUUCUGCUUUCCACCAAGGAAAUUCAAUUUCAAGUCAACAUUCUGUGAAGCUUUGUACAAUAUAGCUUUUGAAAUGCG